rnacentral:rRNA from 1 species
CAGUCGAGCGGACAGAUGGGAGCUUGCUCCCUGAUGUUAGCGGCGGACGGGUGAGUAACACGUGGGUAACCUGCCUGUAAGACUGGGAUAACUCCGGGAAACCGGGGCUAAUACCGGAUGGUUGUUUGAACCGCAUGGUUCAAACAUAAAAGGUGGCUUCGGCUACCACUUACAGAUGGACCCGCGGCGCAUUAGCUAGUUGGUGAGGUAAUGGCUCACCAAGGCAACGAUGCGUAGCCGACCUGAGAGGGUGAUCGGCCACACUGGGACUGAGACACGGCCCAGACUCCUACGGGAGGCAGCAGUAGGGAAUCUUCCGCAAUGGACGAAAGUCUGACGGAGCAACGCCGCGUGAGUGAUGAAGGUUUUCGGAUCGUAAAGCUCUGUUGUUAGGGAAGAACAAGUACCGUUCGAAUAGGGCGGUACCUUGACGGUACCUAACCAGAAAGCCACGGCUAACUACGUGCCAGCAGCCGCGGUAAUACGUAGGUGGCAAGCGUUGUCCGGAAUUAUUGGGCGUAAAGGGCUCGCAGGCGGUUUCUUAAGUCUGAUGUGAAAGCCCCCGGCUCAACCGGGGAGGGUCAUUGGAAACUGGGGAACUUGAGUGCAGAAGAGGAGAGUGGAAUUCCACGUGUAGCGGUGAAAUGCGUAGAGAUGUGGAGGAACACCAGUGGCGAAGGCGACUCUCUGGUCUGUAACUGACGCUGAGGAGCGAAAGCGUGGGGAGCGAACAGGAUUAGAUACCCUGGUAGUCCACGCCGUAAACGAUGAGUGCUAAGUGUUAGGGGGUUUCCGCCCCUUAGUGCUGCAGCUAACGCAUUAAGCACUCCGCCUGGGGAGUACGGUCGCAAGACUGAAACUCAAAGGAAUUGACGGGGGCCCGCACAAGCGGUGGAGCAUG